GGCUCAGUGGUCUAGUGGUAUGAUUCUCGCUUUGGGUGCGAGAGGCCACAGGUUCGAUUCCUGUCUGAGUCC
rnacentral:tRNA from 2 species